rnacentral:rRNA from 1 species
AUUGAACGCUGGCGGCAUGCUUUACACAUGCAAGUCGAACGGUAACAGGCCGCAAGGUGCUGACGAGUGGCGAACGGGUGAGUAAUGCAUCGGAACGUGCCCAGUCGCGGGGGAUAACGCAGCGAAAGCUGCGCUAAUACCGCAUACGAACUAUGGAUGAAAGCGGGGGACCGUAAGGCCUCGCGCGAUUGGAGUGGCCGAUGUCAGAUUAGGUAGUUGGUGGGGUAAAGGCUCACCAAGCCAACGAUCUGUAGCUGGUCUGAGAGGACGACCAGCCACACUGGGACUGAGACACGGCCCAGACUCCUACGGGAGGCAGCGGUGGGGAAGUUUGGACAAUGGGCACAAGCCUGAUCCAGCAAUGCCGCGUGCAGGAAGAAGGCCUUCGGGUUGUAAACGGCUUUUGUACGGAACGAAACGGUCCUGGUUAAUACCUGGGGCUAAUGACGGUACCGUAAGAAUAAGCACCGGCUAACUACGUGCCAGCAGCCGCCGCAGUAA